rnacentral:hammerhead_ribozyme from 1 species
AUCCAGCUGACGUGUCCCAAAUAGGACGAGACGAGCGUCAAAUUGCAU